rnacentral:rRNA from 1 species
UACGAAGGGGGCGAGCGUUGUUCGGAAUCACUGGGCGUAAAGGGCGCGUAGGCGGCCCUGCUUGUCGCGUGUGAAAGCCCCGGGCUCAACCUGGGAAUGGCGCGCGAGACGGCGGGGCUGGAGUUCGGGAGAGGAGCGUGGAAUUCCCAGUGUAGAGGUGAAAUUCGUAGAUAUUGGGAAGAACACCGGUGGCGAAGGCGGCGCUCGUGGGACCGAGACUGACGCUGAGGCGCGAAAGCGUGGGGAGCAAACAGG